UACGAGGGGGGCGAGCGUUGUUCGGAAUUAUUGGGCGUAAAGGGUGCGUAGGCGGCCUGACAAGUCUGAUGUGAAAUCCCUGGGCUCAACCCAGGGCCUGCAUCGGAAACUGUCGGGCUUGAGUAUGGGAGAGGUGAGUGGAAUUUCCGGUGUAGCGGUGAAAUGCGUAGAUAUCGGGAGGAACACCAGUGGCGAAGGCGAUCAUCUGGGGUUGUUCUGACGCUGAGGAGCGAAAGCUAGGGGAGCAAACGGG
rnacentral:rRNA from 1 species